rnacentral:rRNA from 1 species
GAUGAACGCUGGCGGCGUGCCUAAUACAUGCAAGUCGAGCGAACAGACGAGGAGCUUGCUCCUCUGACGUUAGCGGCGGACGGGUGAGUAACACGUGGAUAACCUACCUAUAAGACUGGGAUAACUUCGGGAAACCGGAGCUAAUACCGGAUAAUAUCUUGAACCGCAUGGUUCAAUAGUGAAAGACGGUUUUGCUGUCACUUAUAGAUGGAUCCGCGCCGCAUUAGCUAGUUGGUAAGGUAACGGCUUACCAAGGCGACGAUGCGUAGCCGACCUGAGAGGGUGGUCGGCCACACUGGAACUGAGACACGGUCCAGACUCCUACGGGAGGCAGCAGUAGGGAAUCUUCCGCAAUGGGCGAAAGCUUGACGGAGCAACGCCGCGUGAGUGAUGAAGGUCUUCGGAUCGUAAAACUCUGUUAUUAGGGAAGAACAAAUGUGUAAGUAACUAUGCACGUCUUGACGGUACCUAAUCAGAAAGCCACGGCUAACUACGUG